rnacentral:lncRNA from 1 species
UUUUUGAAAAAGGCAAUAUUUCCGGCCUCUGCAACCGCACAUAGCUAAAUUUUACAAUAUUCUUAGCUCAAAAGCUUAAUAAAAAAGGAAAAGAUGUAUCCGUAUAAAGGAAAAAAAUCAAAAACAAACUUUAUUUUUGCUUCUUCGUCCAUUCUUGGUAAAGAUAUCAAAAUCGACAAUCUCCAACACUUUCCUCACUGAACAGAUAGUUUCCCUUGAUUCCUUAAGUUGCAAUAGAGAUCAAAAUCGCAAUCAAUAUGCUCUCCUAAAAACAGCAUGCAUGAAAGAGGUAAACUAUUUUUUUCUAAAAACUAAAUCAUUACGCGUACACCAAAUAGCCCACAUCAAAGCUGCGACCCCCAC